rnacentral:rRNA from 1 species
UACGGAGGGUGCAAGCGUUAUCCGGAUUCACUGGGCUUAAAGGGUGCGUAGGAGGGCUGGUAAGUCAGUGGUGAAAUCUUCGAGCUUAACUCGGAAACUGCCGUUGAUACUAUCUGUCUUGAAUACCGUGGAGAUGAGCGGAAUAUGUCAUGUAGCGGUGAAAUGCUUAGAUAUGACAUAGAACACCAAUGGCGAAGGCAGCCCGUUACACGAAUAUUGACUCUGAGGCACGAAAGCGUGGGGAGCAAACAGG